UACGUAGGGUGCAAGCGUUGUCCGGAAUUAUUGGGCGUAAAGAGCUCGUAGGCGGUCUGUCGCGUCUGCUGUGAAAACCCGAGGCUCAACCUCGGGCCUGCAGUGGGUACGGGCAGACUAGAGUGCGGUAGGGGAGACUGGAAUUCCUGGUGUAGCGGUGGAAUGCGCAGAUAUCAGGAGGAACACCGAUGGCGAAGGCAGGUCUCUGGGCCGCAACUGACGCUGAGGAGCGAAAGCAUGGGGAGCGAACAGG
rnacentral:rRNA from 1 species